ACAAGGUCAAGCUGAAAUAGGUGUUGUCAUUGUUUUCAGGAGUCAGGGUGUGCUGAGUAUCGUCCAGGUGUGUUGAAAAGGCAGUACGGGCACUGGUAUCCACAGCUCUCACUGAAUCCACUCAACCAUGAAAGGCAGGGCUUCAUUUCUAGUCCUAUGUUAAAUGUUGCCCCCAGAUGAGAGGUGAAGCUGUAUCCAUGAAUUUACUCCUUCAGUUUUAUAGCGUUCAGUCAUCACAAAUCAUACCUUCAACUAAUUCUUCACUGCUGUGCUUAGAAGAUUUAGUUCAAAUGAGCAACCCUAAGCUGAACUAAAACGUAGGUAUGUCAAUAAACUCCCUCAGCCAUUAUCCUCAUGUGCUGAAUUCUGCUCAGUGCCCAAAUGUCUGUAGACUUAAGGGCACAUCCCAAGAAAUACUACAGAAAUAAGUCCAAAGCAAUGUACUUUUCACCGGUGCAUGGCAACUGUUAAAUAUAUCUGAUGCAGCUUAUUCAGAUCUGCUUUGACUCAGAAUAACAGCAGAGAAGGUUGAAAUGCAUUUGCUUGUGGCAAUGUCUCUGUCUUUGUAAACAUAUGGUUCCAGGGGGAAAGGUCUCAAAGUCAGCAGGAAAACUUGAGAAGAUUUCACUUCCCCACUAUACAGCGUGUUAUCCUGGGUCUUAUGUGUGAAGCUUGAUUCAAUUUUACAUGAGGCAAAAGUGAGGAGUCACCAGCAGGUCAGAUGAAAUUUCUAUACCUUCAGGAAAAAGUCUCGAUCCAGUCUGACUCGCAGAAAGUGUAGGUUUCUUGUUUGUUUAACUUCCAGAGUCAGGAUCCUCUUACAAGCCUCACAGGAAUGUGUUCUCAAGACCUUUUUGCCUUUCUGGAAGCGUUGUCUUAGGAUGUUUCAGAGCAAAGCACUGAAAGUUUUUUCAUCACCCAGAUAGUCCCACAGCAGUCCAGGUGUCUUGGGAGCCACUGAGAAACUGCAAACAGCUGAAGUAAACAGAACCCUUAGGUAUGAUGGACCCCAGUGCAAAGCCACAAACCCUGUGGGAAUGAAGCACUUCAGAGAGACAUAUUUCAGUUUUAAAAACCUGCAGUAACCUUGGGAGAAGUUACUCACACCAGUGGAUAAUCGGCUCAAGAGGAUUUCACUUACAGCGCUGAAGCACUGACCCUCACUGCAAGGUGAGCGGCUUUACCUGGAGUAUCUUGAAGUUCAUUCCCCUCUGAUGGAAACCACCCAUGGGUGUGAUUCUUAUCUCGGUCUGAACACGCUAUCAGUGGAGGUAAAACUAGGCUGAGGGCACUGCGGCUGAGAGGGGCUCCAGGGGAUCACCCCUCGCUGGAGGAGAAGCCUGGUGGAGCCUGAGCCUUAGAUGUGGGCUGGUAAUGCUGCAAGGAAGCUGAGAAGAAAUGUCAUGGAUUUCAGUAAGACAUGAGAGUCAUCCCUGGAUCUGCACCCGCCUGAACACCAGAGGUAUUUGGAUUCAGAGUGAAGUUUUUAUCUAACAGGUGUUAACAGAAAUGCUCUGACUUGGGGAAGGGGAUUUACU